rnacentral:lncRNA from 1 species
UCAUUUUCAGUGUGAGCUUCCCUGACGGCUCAGUGGUAAAGAACCCACCUGUCAAUGCCAGGGAUGAGGGUUCGAUCCCGGUGUUGGGAAGAUCCCUUGGAAAAGGAAAUAGCAACCCACUGCAGUAUUCUUGCCUGGGGAAUCCCCGUGGACAGGGGAGCCUGGCGGGCUACAGUCCGUGGGGUCAGCAGGAGUCAGACACGACUGAGCGACUGAAGGGCGACACGUGACGGACAGCGCGUGCUUCUACUGUCUCAAGCGUACGGUUGUGCCGCGUUGGGCACACUCACGUUGUGCAAACACCGCUCUCACAGGGUUGACUUCUCAUGAGAUUGUAACCUGCCCCCUGCCCCGACCCGGUCUCCGGAUGUAACAGCACCCUCUAUGCGAGGCCCCUUUGAACACAGCUGCUGGCAACAUGAGGGCAGAGAGGCGGGUAUCAGCUUCCUCCCAACACCCUCUGCAGGUGCAGCCUGAGGCCUGGCCCUGGCCCCUUAAAAGAGGAAGCCAAGACACUCAGUGGAAGGCGGUGGGCAGCAGACAGGUCCUACAGACAGUGCUGGCUCCGGGCCACAUUAGAAAGGAAUUCUAGGAAUGAACAUGCGGAGGUUGGCCUAGCUGUCUGCGUCCUGUUCACCUCUCACGGCUGUGCUGACUACAAGCCUGGACUCAGCCGCUCUGCAGUGAAGACACAGGCUCCGGGAGGGCCAGCAAACCCCCACGGAGGCUGCACAGGCAGGAAACGGCCAGGCCGGAAUCAGUUGCGAAGCAUAAUAUAAGCUUUUUUGGAAGAGCCCUCAGAAGCCCCACUGGAGCCCUGGCCACCUGACCUCCAGGUGGGCACACGGCCUGUGCCCGGCCCAGGAACUAAGAUUCACUACCAGGGGUCUGGAGAACUAAGAGUGGGCCGGUUUGGAAGGACAGAGACUGGGUAGGGGUGGAUCUAGAAGGCAGUGGGCAUCUGGGCAGAGAAGGCAGGCUGGGGCCCCUUCUCCUCAGGCCUUCCUAGACCCUGUAACCCGACCCCAGCUGCAAAUCAGCAUGGUGACCCCAGCAAGGUUGUGGUUAAGUGCUUAUGACGUGUGACCUUUAACGUGUUCCUUAGCUGUCCCAUGUCGUUUCCGUAUCAGGAAAAAGGCGAUCAACAGGUGCCAACCUACCCUCCUGGGCUGUUGUGAGACUCUGCCUCAGUGUUUCUCAAAG